CUCAGUUCGGAUUGGAGUCUGCAACCCGACUCCAUGAAGCUGGAUUCGCUAGUAAUCGCGCAUCAGCCACGGCGCGGUGAAUACGUUCCCGGGCCUUGUACACACCGCCCGUCAAGCCAUGGGAGCCGGGGGUACCUGAAGUGCGUGACCGCAAGGAGCGCCCUAAGGUAAAACCGGUGACUGGGGCUAAGUCGUAACAAGGUAGC
rnacentral:rRNA from 1 species